rnacentral:lncRNA from 1 species
GGUCCCCGGAUGUUGCUCAAGUUCUCUUCUUCCUUUUGGCAUGGCCCUUCCACCAAAUCAAAGCAUGGGCUUUGCAGGAAUGAAAUAUCCUCAAAAGUUGGCACCGGGAGCAGCGUUAUUAGGCCAGAGCUGGUAGGCGGGGCUGCCCCCAAAUCAGACAGCGGUGCUCAGAGGAGGAAAAAGCCAGCAGACACUGCAUGGCCACGUGGGUCUGGCCAGUGGGGGUGGUCACAGCCACCGCAGCAAGUAAGUCCACCAGGGAAGAAGGCGGCGCCCCGAGAGCCCUGGUGGAAUCAGCUCAAGGCUACUGUGCAGGUAUGGAUGAAGUACCGAUAAGCACAAAAGAGGAAAACAGCUCUAUGACCUGAAGAUAACUGAUACCAUUUUGCCGUGAAAGCUUCAGAAGGUACCCGUCUACGGGAAUGUAACAGGAGGUUAAAAUGGGGCUGUUGUGCGUACUUUUGCCUGAAGCCUUAAAGGUUGAUAACAGUACAAUAGAUAGCCAAGGACCCCAUAUCCCAAAUAUCCUAAUUAAGGUGCUAUGACUUCUAUUCAACUGACACAGGGUGAACUGAGAGAUUAUGAAACAGGCUCUCAGUUUUGAGCAAUUCCCCCCUCUAGCAUCUAACAGUGAGGGUUGUGGAGCAGUGAGAGAAAAUUCCACGGAGAGCCUUGUUGGUGAGCUGUAUUCCAUGUCACCUCCCAAGGGGGGAGGAGUGCAGCCCCUCAUCCCAAGGCAAGUGAGAAACUCUUGAGGAGACCCACUCAGAGAACUUGAUGUGUGCUCCUAGAGUUUGGGGACUGGCGUCUGCCUUUUGCCAAGAGAUGCCCAUAGGUGAGAGACUAUAGCUGUGCCCAAGUCUGCCCAACCACAAGGGGCAGGCAAAAAUGUGGGAGCUUCACCGGGGGCCAUGGGAAUCUGAGGAGGAGCUGGCCCGGGUUGUUUUAAAAGGGAACCACACCACAGGACUCUUGAGGGGGAGGGCAAAGGGCCCAAAGGAGAAAGUCAGCGUAAGGGAGACUGCUGAGACCUCACGGGCUGAGAGAAGAACAGGAAGCUUCCAGCUGCGAGAGAGACAGCAUGCUCUGCAGAGAAUCCUGGGAGCAGCCUUCAAAAACACCUGCCAGACAAAAAGGCAGGAGCCAGCCAUGGUCCAGGACUGUGCCUGCUGUUGAAGACUGCCUUUCCCCAGUCUCAUCCCAGGGGCCCAGCCUUGGAGGAGCAGGUAUGAGAAGAAACCCUUCCAAGAUGCCGAGCUCUCAGCAGCUCACCCUGAAGGAGAAGAUUCCCUUCAAGUAGAGAGAAGUUCAGAUUGGACUGGACGUUUUAAUUCUC